UCUGGUUGAUCCUGCCAGUAGUUAUAUGCUUGUCUCAAAGAUUAAGCCAUGCAUGUCUAAGUACACACGAAUUAAAAGUGAAACCGCAAAAGGCUCAUUAUAUCAGUUAUGGUUCCUUAGAUCGUUAACAGUUACUUGGAUAACUGUGGUAAUUCUAGAGCUAAUACAUGCAAUUAAAACAUGAACCUUAUGGGACAUGUGCUUUUAUUAGGCUAAAACCAAGCGAUCGCAAGAUCGUUAUAUUGGUUGAACUCUAGAUAACAUGCAGAUCGUAUGGUCUUGUACCGACGACAGAUCUUUCAAAUGUCUGCCCUAUCAACUUUUGAUGGUAGUAUCUAGGACUACCAUGGUUGCAACGGGUAACGGGGAAUCAGGGUUCGAUUCCGGAGAGGGAGCCUGAGAAACGGCUACCACAUCUAAGGAAGGCAGCAGGCGCGUAAAUUACCCACUCCCAGCUCGGGGAGGUAGUGACGAAAAAAUAACAAUACAGGACUCAUAUCCGAGGCCCUGUAAUUGGAAUGAGUACACUUUAAAUCCUUUAACAAGGACCAAUUGGAGGGCAAGUCUGUGCCAGCAGCCGCGGUAAUUCCAGCUCCAAUAGCGUAUAUUAAAGUUGUUGCGGUUAAAACGUUCGUAGUUGAACUUGUGCUUCAUACGGGUAGUACAACUUACAAUUGUGGUUAGUACUAUACCUUUAUGUAUGUAAGCGUAUUACCGGUGGAGUUCUUAUAUGUGAUUAAAUACUUGUAUUUUUUCAUAUGUUCCUCCUAUUUAAAAACCUGCAUUAGUGCUCUUAAACGAGUGUUAUUGUGGGCCGGUACUAUUACUUUGAACAAAUUAGAGUGCUUAAAGCAGGCUUCAAAUGCCUGAAUAUUCUGUGCAUGGGAUAAUGAAAUAAGACCUCUGUUCUGCUUUCAUUGGUUUUUCAGAUCAAGAGGUAAUGAUUAAUAGAAGCAGUUUGGGGGCAUUAGUAUUACGACGCGAGAGGUGAAAUUCUUGGACCGUCGUAAGACUAACUUAAGCGAAAGCAUUUGCCAAAGAUGUUUUCAUUAAUCAAGAACGAAAGUUAGAGGUUCGAAGGCGAUCAGAUACCGCCCUAGUUCUAACCAUAAACGAUGCCAGCUAGCAAUUGGGUGUAGCUACUUUUAUGGCUCUCUCAGUCGCUUCCCGGGAAACCAAAGCUUUUGGGCUCCGGGGAAGUAUGGUUGCAAAGCUGAAACUUAAAGGAAUUGACGGAAGGGCACCACCAGGAGUGGAGCCUGCGGCUUAAUUUGACUCAACACGGGAAAACUUACCAGGUCCGAACAUAAGUGUGUAAGACAGAUUGAUAGCUCUUUCUCGAAUCUAUGGGUGGUGGUGCAUGGCCGUUCUUAGUUCGUGGAGUGAUUUGUCUGGUUAAUUCCGAUAACGAACGAGACUCAAAUAUAUUAAAUAGAUAUCUUCAGGAUUAUGGUGCUGAAGCUUAUGUAGCCUUCAUUCAUGUUGGCAGUAAAAUGCUUAUUGUGUUUGAAUGUGUUUAUGUAAGUGGAGCCGUACCUGUUGGUUUGUCCCAUUAUAAGGACACUAGCUCUUAAAUGGACAAAUUGCGUCUAGCAAUAAUGAGAUUGAGCAAUAACAGGUCUGUGAUGCCCUUAGAUGUCCUGGGCUGCACGCGCGCUACAAUGAAAGUAUCAACGUGUAUUUCCUAGACCGAGAGGUCCGGGUAAACCGCUGAACCACUUUCAUGCUUGGGAUUGUGAACUGAAACUGUUCACAUGAACUUGGAAUUCCCAGUAAGUGUGAGUCAUUAACUCGCAUUGAUUACGUCCCUGCCCUUUGUACACACCGCCCGUCGCUACUACCGAUUGAAUUAUUUAGUGAGGUCUCCGGACGUGAUCACUGUGACGCCUUGCGUGUUACGGUUGUUUCGCAAAAGUUGACCGAACUUGAUUAUUUAGAGGAAGUAAAAGUCGUAACAAGGUUCCGUAGGUGAACCUGCGGAAG
rnacentral:rRNA from 1 species